UUCGUAUUGCUAUUGAUUGUGUGCGUUUGCAUGUUUUACUAGAGAAAACGAGGAACAAAAGAAAAACCGGAAAAAGAACAGAUCUUUACCUCCAUGCUUAGCUUCCUUAACCUGUUGGAUCUUCCGGACAUGUGUGGCCUCCCACCAAGCAUCAUCGGCUGCCGACGAGGCCAUGGCCUGAGAAUUGUGUAGCACAUCGGCAGCCUCCCACGUUAAUUUCUUGCUUUUGUUUAUUAACAAUGUUUUCUAAUUAAAUUCGUAGUUAAGAAAAACGAUGUUGUUUUGAACCUAACCCUGGAUUAUGAUUAUUUAUUGGACAUAUUUAUGGAUGUGUAUCAUUUUUAUUAUUGUGUUUAAUUCAAUUAAUUCCUG
rnacentral:lncRNA from 1 species